rnacentral:rRNA from 1 species
UGGGGAAUUUUCCGCAAUGGGGGGAACCCUGACGGAGCAACGCCGCGUGCGGGAGGACGGCCUGUGGGUUGUAAACCUCUUUUCUCAAGGAAGAAGCACUGACGGUACUUGAGGAAUCAGCAUCGGCUAACUCCGUGCCAGCAGCCGCGGUAAUACGGAGGAUGCAAGCGUUAUUCGGAAUUAUUGGGCGUAAAGCGUCCGCAGGUGGUGCCUCAAGUCUGCUGUCAAAGACCGAAGCUCAACUUCGGGCAGGCAGUGGAAACUGAAGCACUAGAGUACGGUAGGGGUAGAGGGAAUUUCCAGUGUAGCGGUGAAAUGCGUAGAGAUUGGAAAGAACACCAGUGGCGAAGGCGCUCUACUGGACCGUAACUGACACUCAGGGACGAAAGCUAGGGGAGCGAAAGGGAUUAGAUACCCCUGUAGUCC